rnacentral:rRNA from 1 species
UACGUAGGUGGCAAGCGUUGUCCGGAUUUACCGGGCGUAAAGGGCGUGCAGGCGGUCUGUUAAGUGCAGGGUGAAAGCUCCCGGCUCAACUGGGAGAGGUCCUUGCAUACUGGCGGACUUGAGGGGGGUAGAGGAAAGUGGAAUUCCCGGUGUAGUGGUGAUAUGCGUAGAUAUCGGGAGGAACACCUGUGGCGAAGGCGGCUUUCUGGGCCCUACCUGACGCUGAGACGCGAAAGCGUGGGGAGCGAACCGG